rnacentral:lncRNA from 1 species
GUUUUCUUUUAUAAAGAAAUGCUGGCAUGCUUGACUUUAGUGAAUCAAGAGAAUUGUUUGGCAAAUAACAGUGAUGGUGUGUGUCCUUGUCAGAACACCUGCUGUAUUCUCCCAGCAAACACUGGGGCCACGGCGUCUCUCCUCUAAUGACACCUCAUCAAUCCGCUCCUAUCAAUGUCCCAGCCAUGGAGGUGACUUCGAGUGCUCAGAAGCCUUAGAAAAUGUCAACGUUUUGGGAGAAAAGGGUACACUUUUGCCAAUCAAGUCAAGUAUAACAGAGACACCAGAAAGUUUUCUGAAUAAAUACAAGAAGCCUCUUCUGGAGUCUCCAGGAAAACGGACGAUAAUUUGUAGCUCAAUGUAUCUCCACUUUUUUUUUUUUU